CACGCUCUGCCUCUCGGCACUCAACCAGGCAAGCCCUCGGCCUCCAACAAGUCCCUCUUCAGGUCCCGCUUCCAGAAGGCUGAAGAUGACUCAGGUGUGACCUUCAGCUGCAUAGUGGAAGGGCCUCAUCCUGGCAGUGUCUCCAUCACGUGGCACGAGAAUGGCAGACCCCUGACUGGAGACAACAGCGUCAUCCACACCAGCAGCGAGCCUAACGUUUUUCUCAACAGCAGCCUGAAAAUCUCUGGUGAUGCGUGGAAUUCAGCAAAGGCUUUCUCAUGCGCCAUUGGUCAGCAAAAUUCCCCACACCCAGAACACCAGACUUCUGGCCAGAAGGUUACAGCUGGGCUGUGUGGCCCAGCAGCACGAGGCCAGGCAGACUCGCCUGACCCUCCGCCACUGGAGGUGACAUUCCACGGCGCCCUUUUAUCCUCGUGCUCCCGAGCAGGAAAGCCGUCCGCUUCCAAUGAGUCCCUCUUCAGGCCCCGCCUCCAGGAGGCCGAACGUGUGACCCUAACUUGCAAAGUGGAUGGAAAACAUCCCCCAGGUGUCUCUAUCACAUGGUACAGGGAUAACAGACUCCUCACCGAAGGCAGCAAUUACAUCCACAACAGCUAUGAGGAUCCCUCUUUUAUGAUCAGCAAGCUGGCAAUCAGUAUAGACGACUGGCUCCCAAGAGAAGUCUUCUCAUGCACCAUUGAUGGCGCUCCCAAGGCUCAAACUGUCAAAAGCUUCCCCCCUCCGUCAGAAAAUCUGGCUUUGCAGAAAACAGGCACCCUUGUGUGCUUGGUGGAAGGAGUCAAUCCCAACAACAUCAUUGUGAAAUGGUUACGUAACGGCAUAGCAGUGGCACCGUCAGUAAACUCCACCAACAUACCUUCACAGGAGACCAAGAGUUCAAAGGAGCUGCUCACCUUUAGUACCCUGCGUGUCAAUGAGCAGGACUUGAGUGACGGAAGCACUUUCACUUGUGUGGUGGGACCAAACAAGCCUUUCUCCCUGAUGACUCACAAGGCCACAGGCAAGAGUGCAGAUAAGCCAACUCUUGGCAAGCCCUUGGCCUCCAACAAGUCCAUCUUCAAGUCCCACUUCCAGGAGGCGAAAGAUGAGUCAGAGGCGUCCAUUAGCUGCAUAGCGGAAGGAACCAAUCCUAGAGGCAUCACCAUCAGGUGGCUCAAUAAUACCAUCCCAUUCACAGAUGAUGUCCUCUACACAGGUGAAAGUGAGGAUCCUCCUUAUAAGUACACCACGAUAACAUUUAUCAUUAAUAACAGAGCCUUUAGAAGUACCUACUCAUGCUUCAUUAGUCGACAAGGGUCCAGAAUUCAGCACACCUGGAAUACCCAUGAGCAAAUGCAGGGUGAAGAAUGA